rnacentral:rRNA from 1 species
GACGAACGCUGGCGGCGUGCUUAACACAUGCAAGUCGAACGAUGGACUCGGAGCUUGCUCCGGUGGAUUAGUGGCGAACGGGUGAGUAACACGUGAGUAACCUGCCCUUGACUCUGGAAUAACUGCGGGAAACUGUAGCUAAUACCGGAUACGACCCUCGGCGGCAUCGCCAGGGGGUGGAAAGAAUUUCGGUCAAGGAUGGACUCGCGGCCUAUCAGCUAGUUGGUGAGGUAACGGCUCACCAAGGCGACGACAGGUAGCCGGCCUGAGAGGGUGACCGGCCACACUGGGACUGAGACACGGCCCAGACUCCUACGGGAGGCAGCAGUGGGGAAUAUUGCACAAUGGGCGCAAGCCUGAUGCAGCAACGCCGCGUGAGGGAUGACGGCCUUCGGGUUGUGAACCUCUUUUAGUAGGGAAGAAGCGAAAGUGACGGUACCUGCAGAAAAAGCACCGGCUAACUACGUGCCAGCCGCCGCAGUAA